CCUACGGGAGGCAGCAGUGGGGAAUAUUGGACAAUGGGGGCAACCCUGAUCCAGCCAUGCCGCGUGUGUGAAGAAGGCCCUCGGGUUGUAAAGCACUUUCAGUGAGGAAGAACGCCUGGUGGUUAAUACCCAUCAGGAAAGACAUCACUCACAGAAGAAGCACCGGCUAACUCCGUGCCAGCAGCCGCGGUAAUACGGAGGGUGCGAGCGUUAAUCGGAAUUACUGGGCGUAAAGCGCGCGUAGGUGGCUUGAUAAGCCGGUUGUGAAAGCCCCGGGCUCAACCUGGGAACGGCAUCCGGAACUGUCAAGGUAGAGUGCAGGGGAGGAAGGUAGAAUUCCCGGGGUAGCGGUGAAAUGCGUAGAGAUCGGGAGGAAUACCAGUGGCGAAGGCGGCCUUCUGGACUGACACUGACACUGAGGUGCGAAAGCGUGGGUAGCAAACAGGAUUAGAUACCCGAGUAGU
rnacentral:rRNA from 1 species